rnacentral:rRNA from 1 species
UGGACUGCGGCAGCUAUACAUGCAGUCGAGCGGACAGAUGGGAGCUUGCUCCCUGAUGUUAGCGGCGGACGGGUGAGUAACACGUGGGUAACCUGCCUGUAAGACUGGGAUAACUCCGGGAAACCGGGGCUAAUACCGGAUGGUUGUUUGAACCGCAUGGUUCAAACAUAAAAGGUGGCUUCGGCUACCACUUACAGAUGGACCCGCGGCGCAUUAGCUAGUUGGUGAGGUAACGGCUCACCAAGGCAACGAUGCGUAGCCGACCUGAGAGGGUGAUCGGCCACACUGGGACUGAGACACGGCCCAGACUCCUACGGGAGGCAGCAGUAGGGAAUCUUCCGCAAUGGACGAAAGUCUGACGGAGCAACGCCGCGUGAGUGAUGAAGGUUUUCGGAUCGUAAAGCUCUGUUGUUAGGGAAGAACAAGUACCGUUCGAAUAGGGCGGUACCUUGACGGUACCUAACCAGAAAGCCACGGCUAACUACGUGCCAGCAGCCGCGGUAAUACGUAGGUGGCAAGCGUUGUCCGGAAUUAUUGGGCGUAAAGGGCUCGCAGGCGGUUUCUUAAGUCUGAUGUGAAAGCCCCCGGCUCAACCGGGGAGGGUCAUUGGAAACUGGGGAACUUGAGUGCAGAAGAGGAGAGUGGAAUUCCACGUGUAGCGGUGAAAUGCGUAGAGAUGUGGAGGAACACCAGUGGCGAAGGCGACUCUCUGGUCUGUAACUGACGCUGAGGAGCGAAAACGUGGGGAGCCAACACGAUUAGAUACCCUGGUGGUCACUCUGGAAAAUAAUGA